rnacentral:rRNA from 1 species
CAAUAGCGUAUAUUAAAGUUGUUGCAGUUAAAAAGCUCGUGGUUGGAUUUGUGGCGUACGGUGUGUUCCGGGCACUUGUUGUCUGAGUAACCUGCUGUUGCCAUCCUUGGGUGGAACCUGUGUGGCAUUAGGUUGUCGUGCAGGGGAUGCCCAUCAUUUACUGUGAAAAAAUUAGAGUGUUCAAAGCAGGCUUAUGCCGUUGAAUAUAUUAGCAUGGAAUAAUGAGAUAGGACUUUUUUGCUAUUUUGUUGGUUUGCGCAAAGAGGUAAUGAUUAAUAGGGACAGUUGGGGGUAUUCGUAUUCCAUAGUCAGAGGUGAAAUUCUUGGAUUUUUGGAAGACGAACUACUGCGAAAGCAUUUACCAAGGAUGUUUUCAUUAA